rnacentral:rRNA from 1 species
UACGUAGGGUGCAGGCGUUAAUCGGAAUUACUGGGCGUAAAGCGUGCGCAGGCGGUCUGCUAAGAGAGAUGUGAAAUCCCCGGGCUUAACCUGGGAACUGCGUUUCUAACUGGCAGGCUUGAGUGUGGCAGAGGGGGGUGGAAUUCCACGUGUAGCAGUGAGAUGCGUAGAGAUGUGGAGGAACACCGAUGGCGAAGGCAGCCCCCUGGGCUAACACUGACGCUCAUGCACGAAAGCGUGGGGAGCAAACAGG